rnacentral:rRNA from 1 species
GACGAACGCUGGCGGCGUGCUUAACACAUGCAAGUCGAACGGAAAGGCCCUGCUUUUGUGGGGUGCUCGAGUGGCGAACGGGUGAGUAACACGUGAGUAACCUGCCCUUGACUUUGGGAUAACUUCAGGAAACUGGGGCUAAUACCGGAUAGGAGCUCCUGCUGCAUGGUGGGGGUUGGAAAGUUUCGGCGGUUGGGGAUGGAUUCGCGGCUUAUCAGCUUGUUGGUGGGGUAGUGGCUUACCAAGGCUUUGACGGGUAGCCGGCCUGAGAGGGUGACCGGCCACAUUGGGACUGCGAUACGGCCCAGACGGCUACGGGAGGCAGCAGUGGGGAAUAUUGCACAAUGGGCGGAAGCCUGAUGCAGCAACGCCGCGUGCGGGAUGACGGCCUUCGGGUUGUAAACCGCUUUCGCCUGUGACGAAGCGUGAGUGACGGUAAUGGGUAAAGAAGCACCGGCUAACUACGUG